CAAACACCUAAGAACAUUUUAGAUCCAUCAACUCACAUAUGAAGCACAUUUUGGGACGGUGGGAGGAAGCUGGAGAAAACCUGCACACGCACGGGGAGAACAUGCAAACUCAAUACAGAAAGGCCCCUACUGGGAUUUGAACUUGGGACUUCUUGAUGUGAGGCAAGAGCGCUAACCUCCACAACACCACACAGCCUCUUUAUAUUUUACAUCAUUUACGCUAGGGCUGGGAAUCACUGGGUACCUCACGAUGCGAUACGCAGUACAUGGCUCACUAUAUCGAUAAUAUCACGAUACUGCGAUAAUUGGUUUAAAAAAAUCAUCUCUACAAACCCACAGUAUAUAGAUGAACACAUAUUUUUUGGGGGAAAAUAUAUCCCCAUUUAUUUUUAAGCUUGAACAUAACCAUAAUUAUCAGCUUCUGUCUUAUGUUGUGCAUCAAUCAAUAGACACUUUUGUGCAAAUCACUAAUAUUGUGAUUGACAAGCACUGACACCAACUGGAUUGGAAUUAUCUGUAAAUUCAGUGCUAACAUUAGUGAACAUGAACAGCAAUACUACUACUUAGUGCAAAAUUGUUGUAAACAACAGAACAAAAAUGAAAUAAUUCAAGUAGCUGCCAGACACAUUGGUGCUCGCGACAACCAGUCUUGCAAAGUGCGCCCCCAUCUACCUCCAGAGGAACGUCUCACCAAAGGAAUAGAACGUUUUAAGCCUCUUCAAACAAAAAUAAAAAAUCAAUGCUUCGUGAGAACCCAUCGAGAAUCAAUCACAGGACUAAAUAUCGCAAUAUAUCACAAUAUCAAUAUUUUGUUCACACCCCUGUUUUACAUUGAUAUAUACUAAAUCCUUUUGGCCCGGAACUGAACCUUGCGGUACCCCACACACAACACUGUGACAUUCUGACUGGUGCUCUCCACAGCUCCACAGCUUAUGUGCUUUUAAAAUCAUUCAGUUUUGGCAGAUCUGGGUUAGAAGACUGAGCUGAAGACCAGCAGAGUCCACCACUCACCAACACGUCCUUUAACCAAAAAAGAAAUAAAAAAAA